rnacentral:rRNA from 1 species
UGUGUAGGCGGCUUUUUAAGUUUGGUGUGAAAUUUCCCGGCUCAACUGGGAGGGUGCGCCGAAUACUGAAGGGCUAGAGUGCGGGAGAGGAGAGUGGAAUUCCUGGUGUAGCGGUGAAAUGCGUAGAUAUCAGGAGGAACACCGGUGGUGUAGACGGCUCUCUGGACCGUAACUGACGCUGAGACACGAAAGCGUGGGUAGCAAACAGGAUUAGAUACCCUGGUAGUCCACGCCCUAAACGAUGCAUAUUUGGUGUGGGUCAUUCAGUUGAUCCGUGCCGGAGCUAACGCGUUAAAUAUGCCGCCUGGGGAGUACAGUCGCAAGGCUGAA